UAUUGGACAAUGGGCGCAAGCCUGAUCCAGCAACGCCGCGUGGAGGACGAAGGUCUUCGGAUCGUAAACUCCUGUCAGGCGGGACGAAGGCUGCGGGGUAAAUAAUCCCGUAGCUUGACGGUACUGCCAGAGGAAGCCCCGGCUAACUCCGUGCCAGCAGCCGCGGUAAUACGGGGGGGGCAAGCGUUGUUCGGAAUUACUGGGCGUAAAGGGUUCGUAGGUGGCUUGCUAAGUCAGACGUGAAAUCCCUCAGCUUAACUGGGGAACUGCGUCUGAGACUGGUGAGCUUGAGUGCAGGAGAGGAACGCGGAAUUCCAGGUGUAGCGGUGAAAUGCGUAGAUAUCUGGAGGAACACCGGUGGCGAAGGCGGCGUUCUGGACUGUUACUGACACUGAGGAACGAAAGCCAGGGGAGCAAAC
rnacentral:rRNA from 1 species